UUAUUAAUAAGUAAUUAGAAUUAUCAUUUAACUCAUUAAAUUAACUUGCUUACUGUACAUAAACUAUUUAUCAGCAGGGUAAGAGAACGACGAGAAUGGUCAGUGGAACUUGUUUCAUCAUUCUGUUUUUACCUAUGCUGUUUUACUAAGUGUAAUGAUUGUUGUUGCUGCCGCUCUCAUACUCACUGAAACGAGUGUCAUAAAACUGGUAUCGUGUGCUAAGCGAACCAUACUUUUAACUCAAUGAUAAUUUGAGUGUUACAUUAUUUAGGUUCAAUCAUUUUGCAUUGAUUUCAUAUUCCUUCUUCUAUUUUGACAUCAGAACGAACAACAUCAAAGCAGCAAGUAUUCCACUAACCAUUCUCUUCUUAGUUCUUUUAUUUCAGCAAAUUUUUAUUUCUGAGCAUAUGUACAUGCAAUUGUCAUUUACAUUAUUCAAUAAAAUUUGUGAAAAAUUAAUUACUUAAAUUAACUAAAAAUCAAAUAAAUAUCUUUACAUAUAAAUUUGGUGCCGAAACCCGGGAAAGUUAAUUUCGAAAUUUUGUAAAAUAAAAUAGUUGGUGCAAGUCUGUGUAUUAAGAAGUGCUUAAACAUGAGUUCGCUUGACAUUUUAAUCAAAGAACAACGUGGUCUGCUGGAUUUGAUUAACAAGCAUGAACUUGGAUUUAAUAAAAAAUCCAGAGAAGAAAAAACUCAUGGUUAUUUAAAUUCCCUGGCACAACUUCUUGAUGAUAUCUUCACUAAAUUUGAGAGCCAGCAUGGAACAAUUGUCAGACUAGUGCAUGAAUCAUCAAUGUCUGAAAGUGAUGUUCCAUAUUUAACAGACGAAGUGUUUUUCCAUUUCUCUGAAAAAUAUUUAACUUUUAAGGGACAUUUGAUUGAUUCCCUUCCAGAUAACUCAACAACACAUUCACCCUUAACUAGCACGUUUUCUGCGCCGAAUAAUCGUUCAGAAACAAUAUUUUCAGACACUCGCCUUCCAAAGAUAAAUUUACCAAAAUUUUCUGGCGAUUAUAUCGAUUGGGUUCCUUUUCAAGACCUUUUUUCAUCGCUGGUGCAUAACAAUGAUUCGUUGAACAAAGUGCAAAAGUUCUUUUAUUUAAAAAGUAGUAUUUCAGGGGAAGCUGCAAAUUUGAUAAAAACUUUUUCAGCCACUGAGGCAAAUUACGAUUCAGCGUGGCAAAUUUUGGAGGCGAGAUACCAUAACAAACGAAUGUUAGUUGGAAAUCUCAUUUCUAAACUUUUUAACAUACCAAAGUCAGAUGGAGGUUUUCAGUCUAUCAAAAUCAUUCUCGAUUCUACACAAGAAUGCCUCGCAUCUCUAAGCAACCUUGGACUAAGUACAAUUAGCUGGGAUCCUAUCCUUAUCCAUUUAAUCAUUCAAAAACUUGACUUACAAACUAGAAGAGAUUGGGAAAAUUCUCUCAAAUCCAGUUCAAACUUGCCAUCUCGUUCUGAACUUUUUUCAUUUCUUGAAAGAACUUUUCGAACUUUGGAAUCGCUAAGCGACCAAUACCCUACUUUAACGGGUAAACCUAAAUUUACUAAAACCAAGUUUUCAAAGAAGACAUCUUGUCACACUGGAAGGAUAUCAAAAUCCAAUCAAAGAAAUUGUCUCUAUUGUGAAAAAAGUAAUCACUCUCUUCCAAAAUGUUAUAAAUUUCUCUCGUUAUCCUUGGACUUGAAAAACGAGUUCAUAUUAAGCAAAAAUAUAUGCCGCAACUGCCUUACUGUUGGACAUAACAUAAAUAACUGCGACUCACCUUUUCGUUGUGUAAUUUGCAGGGAAAUGCAUCACACAAUUUUGCAUCCUAAUGAACCAUCUGGUCAUAUGUAUGCAGGAAAAUCUGAUUCAAACCAGAAUUCUCAAAUAUCAUCUAAUAGUUCAAAUACGCACCCAUCUAUACUUUUGUACACAAUUCGCCUAAAUGUUUCUAAAAAUGGCCAUACAAUUUCGUUACGGGCAUUGUUAGAUCCUGGUUCGCAAGGGAGUCUUAUUACUGAAGCUGCAGUGCAACUUUUAGGGUUGAGAAAAAUGAGAAAUCAAUGCAAUGUCAUUGGCGUAGGUGGUGGUCAUGGAAAUAUAUCCAAAUAUUCUGUUAAUAUUGAUUUGCUUAACCGCAAAAAUCAGUCUGUGCUUUUAUGUACGGCAUUAGUGCUACCAAAUUUGUCAUCGUAUACUCCUGGUAUUUCAUUCAAAAAUAUUUCUUUGCCAGAUAUUGAAACAGAAGAUCUUGCUGAUCCUUUCUUCUAUAAAACAGACAGAAUUGAUCUAAUAUUAGGGUCGGACGUUUGUGCAAAAAUUAAAAUUCCAUCUGAAUCUUUUGUCCACAAAGGACUUUUCUUUCAGAAUACUCACUUUGGUUGGGUCUUUUCAGGCACAAGUGACAGUUUGCUAUCACAUAAUAUUCAUAUACACAAUACCAAUUUAGAAAAAAUACUGAGAUCAUUCUGGGAACAAGAAGAAGUGUCUGUAAAAAGGUCUCCAAAUCAAGAGGAAAUAUUAUGUGAGAAUUAUUUCAAAACCUCAACAACGCGUCAAGAAAAUGGACGUUAUUUAGUAAGUUUACCUUUUAAAUCAAUAAUAUCCUCUAAUAAAACCCCAUACUUGCAAAAUAACGCCCUGAAUGCACUUAGAAGACUACGGCAUUUGGAAGUAUCAUUUUCGAAGAGACCUGAAUUUAGCCAGGCCUAUAAAACGUUCAUGAAUGAAUAUGAGACUUUAGGUCAUAUGACCAAAAUUGGUAGCUAUCCAGACGAUGUACGACAAAACUCCUACUUCCUUCCCCAUCACGGAGUCUUUAAAGAGGACAGCAGUACAACCAAACUUCGUGUUGUAUUUGAUGGCAGUAGCCACUUUCCAGAAUUCAAUUCCCUCAAUGAUAUUUUAGCUCCUGGUCCAGCCCUGCAAAACGACCUUCCGUCUAUUAUUACCAAAUGGCGCACCCACAAAAUUGCAUUUAGUGCGGAUAUCGAAAAAAUGUUCCGUCAAAUCGACGUUAAUCCUGAUCAUCGCAAAUUCCAACAAAUUUUGUGGAGACAGAAUUCCUCAGAGCCUAUGCAUAUUUAUGAGCUUAACACUGUCACCUAUGGCACCACAAGUGCGCCCUACUUAGCAAUCCGUGUCCUACAUAAAUUAGCAGAAGAUUUCAACAAUGAAUAUCCAAAGGCAGCCAAAGUUUUAGUAGCAGAUUCGUAUGUCGAUGACAUUUUAUCUGGGGCUGAAACGAUAGAUGAAGCCCAAUUAUUAUACACUGAUUUAUGCGAUCUUUUGAAGUCAGGUGGCUGCAAUCUUCGUAAAUGGAACUCGAAUUCUGCAGAUUUCCUAAGCAAAAUUCCAGAAGCUUGUCGAGAUUCCUCUUCAACUAUAUGCUUCAGCAAAGACAAUGUGGUUAAAACGCUAGGUGUCCAAUGGAAUAUUAAUAGUGAUUCUUUUUGCUUUAAUGUAAUACUGGAUGAGAACCCAACUAUCUCAAAGAGAUCGAUCUUGUCUGAGUCGGCUAGGCUAUAUGAUCCAUUGGGCUGGUUAACUCCAACCACAUUAAUUUCAAAGUCCAUAUUUAAAAAACUCUGGGAGCAUGUUUUAGAUUGGGAUGACAAACUACCAACAGAGUUAGAAAAGGCUUGGACAAAACACAGGAUCUCUUUGAGGGAACUCACCAAAGUUAAGAUCCCAAGAUGGAUAAAAUGGUCUCAACAUUCGCCAAUUGAACUUCACUGUUUCUGUGAUGCUUCUACCGAAGCUUAUGCUGCUGUUGUAUACUCUAGGGUGAGUACUCCUAAAGGCAUUGUUGUUUCAAUUUUGCAAGCCAAAUCGAAGGUUUCUCCCAUCAAAACGGUGACUAUACCCAGAUUGGAGCUUUGUGCAGCAAAAUUACUAGCGCUUCUAACAGAAAAUGUAAAGAGGUCAUUAUCAGGAUAUUCUAUCCGCAAUAUUUUUUACUGGAGCGAUAGCACAACAGUCUUAAGCUGGAUUAGAAAACCUCCUUCACAGUGGACCGUCUAUGUGGCUAACAGAGUAGCUGAUAUACAAAGGCUUAGUAGUCCACUUCAAUGGAAUUAUGUUCCAUCAGCUCUAAAUCCCGCUGACUGCGCUUCCAGAGGUAUAUCAGCGAGUGAUUUAUUACAUUGUAAGAUGUGGUGGUGGGCCUCAAUUUUUGCAAGAGCCCCCUUCCUCUUGGCCUAAGUCUCUUCCACACCUUAAUACAAGUGAAGAAAUCAGGAAACCAAAGAUGACUACACAUAAUCUCGUAAAAAAGGUUUACAACGAAUUGCUUACCAAAUAUUCAAAUCUUCAAAAAUUAUUGCGAGUAAUAUCUCUCUGUUUUCGGUAUGUGCAUAAUAUUAGAAAUCCAAAAACAAGAAUGGUAGGAUGUUUGACAGCUCUAGAAAAAAUUAAUACUCUGCACUUUUUAAUAAAAGAAGUCCAGGCAAUUGAUUUUCCCCAAGAAAUAAAACUUCUUUUAAACAAUACUCCACUAAAACAUAGCCCAUUGCUAAAACUUACGCCUUUUAUCGACGAACAAGGUGUUAUACGAGUGGGAGGCCGUCUGCAAAACUCAAAUUUGGAGUACAGUAUAAUGCAUCCAAUUGUUUUAUCAAAAGGUAAUCCACUACUAUUAGAGAUGCCAACUAAUUAUUAGAGAUGCCCAUGAAAGAACUCUGCAUGGCGGUAUUACUCUCACAAUGUCUUACGUUAAUAGACACUAUUGGAUAUUAUCCGGAACUCAAUUAACAAAGACAAUAAUUUCACAAUGCUUGAAGUGCUUUAGAUAUUCUGCAAAGACCUCUCAACAAAUAAUGGGAAAUCUACCACCAGUACGACUACAUAUUAGCCGACCAUUCAAACAUAGCGGUGUAGACUAUGCUGGGCCAAUUAUGAUUAAAAAUUCCACUCUAAGGUCAGCUGUGACUUCCAAAGGUUAUAUAUGUUUAUUUGUGUGUAUGGUGACUAAGGCAUUACACUUAGAAGCUGUCACAGACCUCACAACAACAGCCUUUCUAGCAGCUUUCAAACGCUUUGUAUCCCGCAGAGGCAUAUGUACUGACGUUUAUUCCGAUUGUGGAACAAAUUUCGUAGGCGCUUCUAAAGAGCUACAAGUUCUUCAAAAAAGGUCCCUUAAAUCUUUGCCAUCGGAACUACGCCACAAUCUAAAUACAAAUGGUACUACAUGGCACUUUAUACCUCCCGCAUCACCAAACUUUGGAGGACUAUGGGAGGCAGGUGUAAAAUCUGUAAAGUACCAUCUAAAACGUAUUGUUGGUGACAGGCUACUUAGUUUUGAGGAACUUUCCACUUUACUUUGCCAAAUUGAAAGCUGUUUAAACUCGCGACCUUUGUGCCCUUUGUCAUCUGAUCCAUCGGAUCAUGAAGCCCUGACUCCAGCCCACUUCUUAAUUGGUGAACCAACAAAUUGUAUCCAGCAAGAAACUCUACUUGACAUUAAUGAAAACCAUUUAGAUCGAUGGAAAAGAUUAGAACGAAUGAAACAACAUUUCUGGAAACGUUGGCGCAACGAGUACCUCAAUCGGCUACAGUCUCGCCCAAAAUGGUUGCAUGGAACCAGAAAUGCUGAAAUUGGUGAUCUUGUGCUGAUUGCAGAUGAAAGAUGCGGCCCUGGACAAUGGCUUCUUGGCCGAAUAACCGAUGUCCAUCCAGGAACUGAUGGCAAAAUCAGGAAUGCGAUUCCCAGAAAAACAUUGGAAAUGCUGAAAAUUAUUCAUAAAAACAAACUUGUAUACAAUCUCUGAACACAUAUUCCCGAAAGAUGUCUUACUACAAUCACUAUUCAUGUUCCCCUACUAAAGAUUUUGCUCAAUGAGUAAGACGGUGCCUUUGAAUUAGCGCUGUGAGUCGGAGCAUAGCGGAACUUGCGAGUUCGACUAAAACACUCCCACCGUGUGGCCGUCUUAUUCAAAUUUACGUAUGAACUUCGUUCAUAAGGGGGGAGCAUGUUGUAAAAAUCAAUAUUUCAUUAUUAUUUUAAUAUUAAGAAUGCUCAAAAUUAAUUAUUAAUAAGUAAUUAGAAUUAUCAUUUAACUCAUUAAAUUAACUUGCUUACUGUACAUAAACUAUUUAUCAGCAGGGUAAGAGAACGACGAGAAUGGUCAGUGGAACUUGUUUCAUCAUUCUGUUUUUACCUAUGCUGUUUUACUAAGUGUAAUGAUUGUUGUUGCUGCCGCUCUCAUACUCACUGAAACGAGUGUCAUAAAACUGGUAUCGUGUGCUAAGCGAACCAUACUUUUAACUCAAUGAUAAUUUGAGUGUUACAUUAUUUAGGUUCAAUCAUUUUGCAUUGAUUUCAUAUUCCUUCUUCUAUUUUGACAUCAGAACGAACAACAUCAAAGCAGCAAGUAUUCCACUAACCAUUCUCUUCUUAGUUCUUUUAUUUCAGCAAAUUUUUAUUUCUGAGCAUAUGUACAUGCAAUUGUCAUUUACAUUAUUCAAUAAAAUUUGUGAAA